rnacentral:rRNA from 1 species
UUUACUGUAGUUUGGAAUUGAGUUCGGGCUUGUCUUGCGCAGUAUAGGUGGGAGGCUUUGAGAGUAUGUUUGCGGAUAUACAGGAGCCAAUAAUGAGAUACCACUCUUGACAAGCUAGAAUUCUAACUUUGAAUGCCAUUAGCUGGCCAAAAAACAGUUCCAGGUAGGCAGUUUGACUGGGGCGGUCGCCUCCUAAAAAGUAACGGAGGCGCGCAAAGGUUCUCUCAGGCUGGUCGGAAAUCAGUCGUAGAGUGUAAAGGCAUAAGAGAGCUUGACUGCAAGACUUACAAGUCGAGCAGAGACGAAAGUCGGCCUUAGUGAUCCGGCAGUGCUGAGUG